UACGUAGGGUGCAAGCGUUGUCCGGAAUCAUUGGGCGUAAAGCGCGUGUAGGCGGCCCGGUAAGUCCGCUGUGAAAGUCGGGGCUCAACCCUCGAAUGCCGGUGGAUACUGUCGGGCUUGAGUACGGGAGAGGCGAGUGGAAUUCCGUGGUGUAGCGGUGAAAUGCGCAGAGUAUCAAGGAGGAACACCGAUUGCGAAGGCAG
rnacentral:rRNA from 1 species